AGCCUCCCUUGAGAUACCACCCUUCGCACUCUUGAUGUCUAACCGCGGUCCGUUAUCCGGAUCCGGGACCCUGCGUGGCGGGUAGUUUGACUGGGGCGGUCGCCUCCUAAAGCGUAACGGAGGCGCGCGAAGGUUGGCUCAGAGCGGUCGGAAAUCGCUCGUUGAGUGCAAUGGCAUAAGCCUGCCUGACUGCGAGACUGACAAGUCGAGCAGAGUCGAAAGACGGCCAUAGUGAUCCGGUGGUCCCUCGUGGAAGGGCCAUCGCUCAACGGAUAAAAG
rnacentral:rRNA from 1 species